rnacentral:rRNA from 1 species
GAUUAACGCUGGCGGCGUGCAUAACACAUGCAAGUCGAACGAUGAAACUUAAAUGAAUUCUUCGGAAUGAUUUUAAUUGGAUUAGUGGCGAACGGGUGAGUAACGCGUGAGUAACCUGCCUUACACAAGGGGAUAGCCUCUGGAAACGGAGAAUAAUACCCUAUGAAACUAUCUUAUCGCAUGAAAGAUAGUCAAAGUGUUUUAGCGGUGUAAGAUGGACUUGCGUCUGAUUAGCUAGUUGGUGAGAUAACAGCCCACCAAGGCAACGAUCAGUAGCCGGCUUGAGAGAGUGUACGGCCACAUUGGGACUGAGACACGGCCCAG